GGGGGUAUAGCUCAGUGGUAGAGCGCGUGCUUAGCAUGCACGAGGCCCUGGGUUCGAUCCCCAGUACCUCCA
rfam:Dipodomys ordii contig_61509, whole genome shotgun sequence.